rnacentral:rRNA from 1 species
UAAGCAUAUCAAUAAGCGGAGGAAAAGAAACCAACAGGGAUUACCUCAGUAACGGCGAGUGAAGCGGUAAGAGCUCAAAUUUGAAAGCUGGCUCCUUCGGGGUCCGCAUUGUAAUUUGCAGAGGAUGUUUCGGGAGCAGCCCCCAUCUAAGUGUCCUGGAACGGACCGUCAUAGAGGGUGAGAAUCCCGUAUGGGAUGGGGUGUCUGCGCCCAUGUGAAACUCCUUCGACGAGUCGAGUUGUUUGGGAAUGCAGCUCUAAAUGGGUGGUAAAUUUCAUCUAAAGCUAAAUAUUGGCCGGAGACCGAUAGCGCACAAGUAGAGUGAUCGAAAGAUGAAAAGCACUUUGAAAAGAGAGUUAAAAAGCACGUGAAAUUGUUGAAAGGGAAGCGCUUGCGAUCAGACUCGCCUUGGGGGUUCAGCCGGCAUUCGUGCCGGUGUACUUCCCCCAGGGCGGGCCAGCGUCGGUUUGGGUGGCCGGUCAAAGGCCCUUGGAAUGUAACGCCUCUCGGGGCGUCUUAUAGCCAAGGGUGCCAUGCGGCCUACCUGGACCGAGGAACGCGCUUCGGCUCGGACGCUGGCAUAAUGGUCGUAAGCGACCCGUCU